UAUGGACCCAUUCUCUCGGCCGACAGGAAAAAGAGGUCUAUCCCUUCGAGCGCCGCAAGAGCUGUCAAGAGCAGAACUAUGGCGAUGCCGUAGGAGGGGGGCGACGGGAUUCGAAUCUCUAGCAGAUCCAAUCGACUGAUUUCCAUUGCCGGAUCUCGCCGCGGCCGAAUACUUGCUGCGCGACGAAGUAAAUCAAUCUCUGUUGUGCGCGGUCGCUCAAUCCAGCAAUAGUGGUGCCGGCGAGACGGCGGUAACAGUACAAGAAGAAUUUGACCACAGUUUCAAAAGGGGUGCCCUGUCGAAUUCAGAGCAGUCAACAGACAAAGACGAUGGACACGCACCUGACUCGUCGAGCAGGUUUCAGUUGCCAGAGGUCACCAUCUGUCAACAGUUAGUGAACGGCGAAGCAAGCCAAACUUUGGUAUGCACAGCCGCUGAAUCCGGCAUCGGUGAUGUGGGUGAUCCACCGCCCACAAUACAAGUAGACAUCAACAGCACUUGCAAUGGAAUGGCCCUGUCCCUUCCGACCUCAGAACAAUCGACAGGCAAAGACGAUCCUCAAGCACCUGGCUGGACCAAAAGGUAUACAAUUGUGGAUGUGUGUUUCUGUUUCAAGGAUAUGACAAUUUUGAGUGGGCUGUAUAUUUACAUUCCUCCAAAUUUCACUGAGAAGUACUGAUUUUCCUGUAAAGUAGUACAAGGCUGCUGCUAGACAUCGAUACGUUGUGUUUUGUGAUUACACACUACUAGAAACCAAAAAAAACUGUUUCUAGAAUAACAUGUAGCUGUAUGAUGCAGGGUACGUGUAGGGCACACACCUAUUUAUAUUCCUCCAAAAGUUGUUCUGUAUAUCGUCGAGAAAAUAGCUGUGGAGACAAUUUUCCUUAGUUUGUUUAUUUCCACAUUCUGUUGUUGAGGGCCAAAAAAUAGAAAUUUGUGUAAUAAAACCUGUUGAAGGUACACUGCUAUCUGUUGUACUUGUUAACUUGCCAACAUGUUGUACGCUUGUGAA